rnacentral:rRNA from 1 species
ACAGCAGCAGCCGCGGUAAAACGAGGGGGGCAAGCGUUGUUCGGAAUUAUUGGGCGUAAAGGGUGCGUAGGCGGCUUGACAAGUCUUGUGUGAAAUCUAUGGGCUCGACCCAUAGUCUGCACGGGAAACUGUCGGGCUUGAGAAUGGGAGAGGUGAGUGGAAUUUCCGGUGUAGCGGUGAAAUGCGUAGAUAUCGGAAGGAACACCUGUGGCGAAAGCGGCUCACUGGACCAUUUCUGACGCUGAUGCACGAAAGCUAGGGGAGCAAACAGGAUUAGAUACCCCGGUAGUCCCUGUCUCUUAUAA